rnacentral:rRNA from 1 species
AUUAGUGGCGAACGGGUGAGUAACACGUGAGUAACCUGCCCUUAACUCUGGGAUAAGCCUGGGAAACUGGGUCUAAUACCGGAUAUGACUCCUCAUCGCAUGGUGGGGGGUGGAAAGCUUUUUUGUGGUUUUGGAUGGACUCGCGGCCUAUCAGCUUGUUGGUGAGGUAAUGGCUCACCAAGGCGACGACGGGUAGCCGGCCUGAGAGGGUGACCGGCCACACUGGGACUGAGACACGGCCCAGACUCCUACGGGAGGCAGCAGUGGGGAAUAUUGCACAAUGGGCGCAAGCCUGAUGCAGCGACGCCGCGUGAGGGAUGACGGCCUUCGGGUUGUAAACCUCUUUCAGUAGGGAAGAAGCGAAAGUGACGGUACCUGCAGAAGAAGCGCCGGCUAACUACGUGCCAGCAGCCGCGGUAAUACGUAGGGCGCAAGCGUUAUCCGGAAUUAUUGGGCGUAAAGAGCUCGUAGGCGGUUUGUCGCGUCUGCCGUGAAAGUCCGGGGCUCAACUCCGGAUCUGCGGUGGGUACGGGCAGACUAGAGUGAUGUAGGGGAGACUGGAAUUCCUGGUGUAGCGGUGAAAUGCGCAGAUAUCAGGAGGAACACCGAUGGCGAAGGCAGGUCUCUGGGCAUUAACUGACGCUGAGGAGCGAAAGCAUGGGGAGCGAACAGGAUUAGAUACCCUGGUAGUCCAUGCCGUAAACGUUGGGCACUAGGUGUGGGGGACAUUCCACGUUUUCCGCGCCGUAGC